GAUGAACGCUAGCUACAGGCUUAACACAUGCAAGUCGCGGGGCAGCAUGGGGGUUGCUUGCAAUCCCCGAUGGCGACCGGCGCACGGGUGAGUAACGCGUAUCCAACCUGCCCUUCACCACGGGAUAACCCGGCGAAAGUCGGACUAAUACCGUAUGUUGCCCAUUGACGGCAUCCGAUUUGGACGAAAGGUUUGGCGGUGAAGGAUGGGGAUGCGUCCGAUUAGCUGGACGGCGGGGUGACGGCCCACCGUGGCGACGAUCGGUAGGGGUUCUGAGAGGAAGGUCCCCCACACUGGAACUGAGACACGGUCCAGACUCCUACGGGAGGCAGCAGUGAGGAAUAUUGGGCAAUGGGCGUAAGCCUGAACCAGCCAAGUAGCGUGCAGGAUGACGGCCCUAUGGGUUGUAAACUGCUUUUAUGCGGGGAUAAAGUGGCCCACGUGUGGGUUUUUGCAGGUACCGCAUGAAUAAGGACCGGCUAAUUCCGUG
rnacentral:rRNA from 1 species